CAAAACGCCGCCGUAGAGGACGGUUUCCACUGCCUUCUGGCACACGUGCCAGUUACCGGUCCAGAGGAGUCCGACGGCUCCAUUCACCAAAUUCACUAUCCGGCCACACGCUUGAAACAUAAGCGACUGAAAGAGAUUUGUAACACAAAUCAAAACACAAUCCGAUUAUUGAAAUAAAAAAUUAAACAAUUAGUCUAUAUUUUAGAGAAAUAAAGAGAAUCAAUUACCAUCCUUCAUCUCCGCCGCAACAGAAGAACUUGGCGAUGAAGUCGGUGGCGUGUUACAAACAAGGACGGAUAAUUAAGUAAUUAGUUUAGGAGAAGUAAUAACUAAUAAGGGCACUUUUGGAAAUAUAUAUAUAUUUGAACCAAUUUAGAAAUAAAGGUUAAAAUUAGGACUUUUUUGUCUAACUAAAAAAUAUGUAAGACUAAAUUGUCUUUGGGCUUAAAAAGUAGGACUAGAGUGGAAUUUUCCCAACAAUUUAUCCACUGGCUCAUGUAAUGUUCAAGAUUCUGAUCAGUCUGUUAAGAGGGGGCUAUGGUCCACAUAUUUGUGUGAAUAACGACGAAGAAUCAUGCCUGAAACUUCCAGUCAGAUCAUGUACACUAAGUCGACGGUGAUGAUUCAUGCUUGUUCACAUCCCUCACUCUUGGGCAUACACUGCAUGAUCUAGCCUUCUCUUCUUUUCUCUAUUCAAAUUCUCUCUGAGUGUUUUCGUUUUGUUGUGUUUUAGGGCUUAAUUUGGUUGUCAGUAUUCAAAUUAGUGGGUGUCGUUUGAACAUUUCGGUAGAGUUGUCGAUCGAAGAGCUUGAGAUUGAUUUAAUCACUCCAAUAGUACUUUAAGCUGAUGAAUCCCUAAGAGGACAACUAGGUGGCAAUUUAAGGCGGGGCGAGUCGACUUCGUGCUGUGUCACGAUUCCUUUUUACGAAUAUGAUACGAUAACUACAUAAUUAUUCAAUUUUGACAGAAAUAUGAUACGAUUAUUAUUCCGGUAAUAUAAUAUGACAUGUGAACACGACAAGAGAUGUUUAAGUUA